rnacentral:rRNA from 1 species
UACGGGGGGGGCAAGCGUUGUUCGGAAUUACUGGGCGUAAAGGGCUCGUAGGUGGCCAACUAAGUCAGACGUGAAAUCCCUCGGCUUAACCGGGGAACUGCGUCUGAUACUGGAUGGCUAGAGUUUGGGAGAGGGAUGCGGAAUUCCAGGUGUAGCGGUGAAAUGCGUAGAUAUCUGGAGGAACACCGGUGGCGAAGGCGGCAUCCUGGACCAACACUGACGCUGAGGAGCGAAAAGCCAGGGGGAGCAAACGGG